CUUCGGGUAAUGAGGAUGGCGGACGGGUGAGUAACGCGUAAGGAACUUGCCUCUUGGACUGGGACAACUGUUGGAAACGACAGCUAAUACCGGAUAUUAUGAGAUUCUCGCAUGAGAAACUUAUGAAAGCUAUAUGCGCCAAGAGAGAGCCUUGCGUUCCAUUAGCUAGUUGGUGGGGUAACGGCCCACCAAGGCGACGAUGGAUAGCCGGCCUGAGAGGGUGAACGGCCACAAGGGGACUGAGACACGGCCCUUACUCCUACGGGAGGCAGCAGUGGGGAAUAUUGGACAAUGGGCCACAAGCCUGAUCCAGCAAUUCUGUGUGCACGAUGAAGGUCUUCGGAUUGUAAAGUGCUUUCAGUUGGGAAGAAGAAAGUGACGGUACCAACAGAAGAAGCGACGGCUAAAUACGUGCCAGCAGCCGCGGUAAUACGUAUGUCGCAAGCGUUAUCCGGAUUUAUUGGGCGUAAAGCGCGUCUAGGCGGAAAAAUAAGUCUGAUGUUAAAAUGCGGGGCUCAACUCCGUAUUGCGUUGGAAACUGUUUUUCUAGAGUACUGGAGAGGUGGGCGGAACUACAAGUGUAGAGGUGAAAUUCGUAGAUAUUUGUA
rnacentral:rRNA from 1 species